UACGGAGGAUGCAAGCGUUAUCCCGGAAUGAUUGGGCGUAAAGAGUCCGUAGGUGGUUUAUUCAAGUCGAUUGUUAAAGAGCGGGGCUUAACCCCCGUAGAAGCAGUGGAAACUGAAUAACUAGAGAGAGGUAGGGGUAGAGGGAAUUCCCGGUGUAGCGGUGAAAUGCGUAGAGAUCGGGAAGAACACCAGUGGCGAAAGCGCUCUACUGGGCCUCAUCUGACACUGAGGGGACGAAAAGCUAGGGGGAGCGAAAAGGGG
rnacentral:rRNA from 1 species